GCCAUCCACGGUCGGAGGGAGACAGAGACCACCGGAAAAUUAGAGUUUGAACUCUUCCCCCAGAAAUUUUCAUCAAAUUUUUAACAUUCCCAAAUUUCCACCGAGUUUCCGUUGAGAACAGAACGUCACCAAGCAAAGGAAGUUGGACAUCGAUUGCAAAUUGUGAAGCAGUCCGGAUUCGACGGGGGAAGAUUUUUUUUACUCUGGAACACACGUCUCUCGCCCAUAUUUUUGAGGAGGAACUUCCGACCAUCGAAACACGACGGAAUGUGGGUCAACCAGCCCCACAAGGGGAAAAUCGCUCGUAGCCCAGAAAGCUACGUCCCCACAAGGAAGAAAGUGGAGAGAGGGGAAAGUUCUCCAGAGAAGGGACAAUUUCCUCCCCACUCCGCCCAACCAAAGCCAACAGCACGUGGCGAUAACCACGUGUCCACACCUUCAGCCAGCAGCAGGUCAUCAAAACCCAUGAAAUUGCAGCAAGUUGGCCGAAAGGGGAAGAAGCGUGGUGGUCACGUGGUGGGGAAAGUCUUCCCAUGCAAAAUAUGCCCUUCACCAACCCAACCAGUGCUCACUUCCACGCCCGCACCCACCUCAACCCCGACGAGCUGGAGCAGUCCACACUUUUCCAUGAAAAGUGCCCCCACGGCCGAAAAGUGUUCUUCACUCGUGGAGUCUUUGUCGACCACGUGAAUUCCCACGAAGGCCGGAAACCCGGGGACGACGACAUAUUUCACCGUGAACGGUCAAUUUGUGCAUCACACUUAAAUCGUGUAUGUUGCCGGUUGCAUAUCGAAACGGACCAAGCAUAAUUUUCAUACCGGUGGAAACUUCCGGUUUAGUUGAGAAAAUCAGGCAUUGUUUCUGUCCAGAUAGAACCGGAGGAUGAGAACAAAUCUAGCCAUGUAAGUCAGCGAGACAGAUUUUGCAUGAAUAUUUCCUUCAGCAAUAUGGAUCAGAAAUAAAAAAUUGCACAUAUAAAAGGAUGAUCAGUUAACAACAAAUAUACCCAAUU